AUUAAGAUGACGAGUCCCAAAUAGAAUGAAACCCGUGUCCUGAAU
rnacentral:hammerhead_ribozyme from 1 species